rnacentral:rRNA from 1 species
CCUACGGGAGGCAGCAGUGGGGAAUAUUGGACAAUGGGGGGAACCCUGAUCCAGCCAUGCCGCGUGUGUGAAGAAGGCCCUCGGGUUGAAAAGCACUUUCAGUGAGGAAGAACGCCUGGUGGUUAAUACCCAUCAGGAAAGACAUCACUCACAGAAGAAGCACCGGCUAACUCCGUGCCAGCAGCCGCGGUAAUACGGAGGGUGCGAGCGUUAAUCGGAAUUACUGGGCGUAAAGCGCGCGUAGGUGGCUUGAUAAGCCGGUUGUGAAAGCCCCGGGCUCAACCUGGGAACGGCAUCCGGAACUGUCAAGCUAGAGUGCAGGAGAGGAAGGUAGAAUUCCCGGUGUAGCGGUGAAAUGCGUAGAGAUCGGGAGGAAUACCAGUGGCGAAGGCGGCCUUCUGGACUGACACUGACACUGAGGUGCGAAAGCGUGGGUAGCAAACAGGAUUAGAUACCCGUGUAGUC